rnacentral:rRNA from 1 species
UACGGGGGGGGCAAGCGUUGUUCGGAAUUACUGGGCGUAAGGGCUCGUAGGCGGCCAACUAAGUCGGAUGUGAAAUCCCCAGGCUUAACCUGGGAACUGCAUCCGAUACUGGAUGGCUUGAAUCCGGGAGAGGGAUGCGGAAUUCCAGGUGUAGCGGUGAAAUGCGUAGAUAUCUGGAGGAACACCGGUGGCGAAGGCGGCAUCCUGGACCGGCAUUGACGCUGAGGAGCGAAAGCCAGGGGAGCAAACGGG